GGUUGAGUUGCUGGUGAGGGAUGGAAGGGUGGUAAACUGGGUGGGUGAUUUCCUGAGGAAUAGAAGACAAAGAGUGAGAGUGGCCGAUGGACAGCGAAGGACAACAUUGUGAAGUCGCCUGUUAGUAUGGCAAGUCCACAACGUACAAGCAUUCCCAAAGUUCAAUGAAAGCCCAUAAUUGGAAUUUGGUACCACGUGCCAUUGAGUGGACUAUGUCAAUAAAUAUCUAGCUUGAA